rnacentral:rRNA from 1 species
UUCUAUAAGCAAUAAUUUAUAGUAAAAUCUGCUCAAUGAUAAUAUAUAUAUAUAUAAAUAGCCGCAAUUGUGCUAAGGUAGCAUAAUAAUUUGUCUUUUAAUUAAAGACUAGAAUGAAUGAUAUAACAUUUUACAAAAUAUCUAAUAUUUAAAUAUUUAAAUUUUUUUAAAAAUAAAAAAAUUUUUAUAAAAAAAAAAGACGACAAGACCCUAUUGAACUUCACUUCAGUUCAACUGGGGAAGUUAAUUAAUUAUAAUUUUAAUUUAAAACUCCUAUAAUUUAUCUAUUUAAAUAAUUUUAAAUAAGUUACCAUAGGGAUAACAGCGUAAUAUUAUUCACAAGUUCUUAUAAAAAAUAAUGAUUGCGACCUCGAUGUUGACUUGAUUAUCUAAUUAAACGCAAUUGUUAAUUAAGUAAGUCUGUUCGACUUAUAAAGAUC